GUUGGUUACUCGCGGACCAGGCAUGCAGCCCAUGGCAGUUUAUAACGUGUAGUUUAGCGGCUGGAGCCGACAACGGCGAGUGGUGGUGCUUGGGUAGAACGUGCAGGAGGCAGAACAUGGCGAGGAUUAAUUGGUCAAGACAUGACACAGAUUACACAGAAGGCACAGGCGCAAACCACAGCCACCACUACUAUGUUGCCAAUGGUUGCCAGCACAGCGAUCCACAGCCAAAUGGUGUCACUGGACACUUUCCCAUCAUCCUCUGCUUCUGAAGGUCGAGAGUAGCCGGCAUUAAGGUUGGAGGUGGACGUCUGCAGGGACGUGUUGCCAUUGUACGGUGAAUCCAUGAAGGCCCCACUCACAGCCGGGUAAUGCUGUCAGGAGAGAGACACACAGGGAGGUUUUCAGAUUAAAGUCUGCGAAAAUUCAACACAAUCAUUUUUGUUGGACAAAGUUUGAGGAAAGUUAACUGAGCUGAACUCAAAACUCCAAUCCAGUGAUCAUCAGUAAUCCAGAGAUUUCAGCAAUAAAGAGACAGAGAAAAAUAAGAAUUUUAACAAAACAGCAUAUUACAGAACAGACUAACAGUUGUUUUUCUACUCACUGCUCAGAGUAAGACAGAAAGGUAAAGUUGUUUAAUAAGGAUUAAACAAAUAUAUUAACAACCAUUAGAAGUAAUGACAACAGCUGAAAUGUUCUUUAUCAAAAUUGUUUUAGAUCAUUGUAUUUUGCUAAUUAGUUAUAUUAACUAAACUAUCAUUUUGCCAAUUCACUUUACUCAGGAAGUCUUUAUAAUGUGUCUAGAUUCUCACUAAUCCACAACACAAGUAAGAAUAUGACUACCCAUUAGUAAAAUAUCAUUCUUUGAGUUCAUCUUUUGAAAGCUUUUAAACUCAUGUAAAAAUGGUAGCAUGAUACUCACACUGUCUUCAAUAUAGUUAAUUGAUCAAUCAGAUUGAAUCAUCAGUUCUGAUUAAGAUCUGAUUUUCUACUCUUGCUGAACGCAGUGACAUUUUAAUUUCUAAAAUAUUCUUUGUCUUAAAAGGCUAAAAGUGAGAUGCAUUCAGCCUUAAAUCAAUCUUACAAUGAUGAGGACAGCAUGGCUGAACAAUAACAUGUUCGGUUCAGGAGGUUGACCCCACAGCUGUGCCUGGUCUCAGGACAGCUGUGCUGUACAGUGAAGAGAAAUCAGCAUCUCAAAGGGAUUAAUUCUCAAACGGAUUAAAAAAAGUGAAACAUAUGCUGUGGAGCCACUGGCACUUCAGUUUGC